rnacentral:rRNA from 1 species
UGAAACUCGCCUCUUUGAAGUCGGAAUCGCUAGUAAUCGCAGAUCAGCAUGUUGCGGUGAAUACGUUCCCGGGUCUUGUACACACCGCCCGUCAAACCAUGAGAGUCACCAACACCCGAAGUCCGCUUUGGCGGCCUAAGGUGGGGGAGAUGAUUGGGGUUAAGUCGUAACAAGGUACC